GGUCCCGUAGCUCAACUGGAUAGAGCACCCGCCUUCUAAGCGGGAUGUUGCAGGUUCGAGCCCUGCCGGGAUCACCA
rnacentral:tRNA from 1 species